rnacentral:rRNA from 1 species
UACGUAGGGUGCAGGCGUUAAUCGGAAUUACUGGGCGUAAAGCGUGCGCAGGCGGUCCUUUAAGUCUGAUGUGAAAGCCCACGGCUCAACCGUGGAGGGUCAUUGGAAACUGGGGGACUUGAGUGCAGAAGAGGAAAGCGGAAUUCCACGUGUAGCGGUGAAAUGCGUAGAGAUGUGGAGGAACACCAGUGGCGAAGGCGGCUUUCUGGUCUGUAACUGACGCUGAGGCGCGAAAGCGUGGGGAGCAAACAGG